AUUGAACGCUAGCGGCAUGCCUAACACAUGCAAGUCGAACGAGUGGCGGACGGGUGAGUAAUGUAUCGGACACUGCCCAGUAGCGGGGGAUAACUACUGGAAACGGUAGCUAAUACCGCAUACUAUCGGAUGUACCCAUAUGGGAUUAGCUAGUAGGUGGGGUAACGGCUCACCUAGGCGACGAUCCCUAGCUGGUCUGAGAGGAUGAUCAGCCACACUGGGACUGAGACACGGCCCAGACUCCUACGGGAGGCAGCAGUGGGGAAUAUUGCACAAUGGGCGCAAGCCUGAUGCAGCCAUGCCGCGUGUAUGAAGAAGGCCUUAGGGUUGUAAAGUACUUUCAGCCGGGAGGCGUUACCGACAGAAGAAGCACCGGCUAACUCCGUGCCAGCAGCCGCGGUAAUUC
rnacentral:rRNA from 1 species